rnacentral:rRNA from 1 species
GACGAACGCUGGCGGCGUGCUUAACACAUGCAAGUCGAGCGGUAAGGCCCUUUCGGGGGUACACGAGCGGCGAACGGGUGAGUAACACGCGGGUGACCUGCCCUCAGCUCUGGGAUAAGCCUGGGAAACCGGGUCUAAUACCGGAUAUGACUCCAUGACGCAUGUUGUGGGGUGGAAAGCCUUGUGCGGCUGAGGAUGGGCCCGCGGCCUAUCAGCUUGUUGGUGGGGUGAUGGCCUACCAAGGCGACGACGGGUAGCCGGCCUGAGAGGGCGACCGGCCACACUGGGACUGAGUCACGGCCCAGACUCCUACGGGAGGCAGCAGUGGGGAAUCUUGCGCAAUGGGCGAAAGCCUGACGCAGCGACGCCGCGUGAGGGAUGACGGCCU